rnacentral:rRNA from 1 species
AAACCGUCUGGGAGUAAACGGGUGGUACCCGAAAGUUCGAAAGGGGAGAUUCAGGUCUCGCCGCGCGUCGGGCGGCUCCCGCGACCAGAGAUGGCGCCUCCGAGGCCCGGGGGCAACCCCGGGUCCGGAGGUGCCACUCCGCGGGCGCCGGCGGUCCCGGCGUCGGAGUGACGCACUUCUCCCCGAGUAGGACGUCGCGACCCGUCGAGCGCCUGCCUAAGGUCCCGGGUGGAGCCUGUGCAGCCUGCUCACGCCGGCUGCGCACGACCCCGGGAAUCCCGGCGGGGUGCACGACGGUACGAAGCGAGGAAGGAGUCGACGCGCCGCCCUUGUCGGCGUCCGGCCCUCCGCAAGCGCCCGCGGGAGUCCGGGUUUCCGGACCUGGUCCGAUCCCGGACCCUCCGCGGGGCUGUUUGCGAUUCGGAGGUGUCCUCGGACGGCGUCGGUUCUCCAGUCGGCGACGCUUCAGCUUGGAUGGCCUACCCGA